rnacentral:tRNA from 1 species
UGCGGCGUAGCUUAACGGAAGAGCGGAGGUCUAUAAGCCUUUGGUGAAAGUUCGACUCUUUCCGCCGCGACCA